rnacentral:rRNA from 1 species
GAGUUUGAUCCUGGCUCAGGACGAACGCUGGCGGCGUGCUUAACACAUGCAAGUCGAGCGAUGAAGCUCCUUCGGGAGUGGAUUAGCGGCGGACGGGUGAGUAACACGUGGGUAACCUGCCUCAUAGAGGGGAAUAGCCUUUCGAAAGGAAGAUUAAUACCGCAUAAGAUUGUAGUACCGCAUGGUACAGCAAUUAAAGGAGUAAUCCGCUAUGAGAUGGACCCGCGUCGCAUUAGCUAGUUGGUGAGGUAACGGCUCACCAAGGCGACGAUGCGUAGCCGACCUGAGAGGGUGAUCGGCCACAUUGGGACUGAGACACGGCCCAGACUCCUACGGGAGGCAGCAGUGGGGAAUAUUGCACAAUGGGGGAAACCCUGAUGCAGCAACGCCGCGUGAGUGACGACGGUCUUCGGAUUGUAAAGCUCUGUCUUUAGGGACGAUAAUGACGGUACCUAAGGAGGAAGCCACGG